rnacentral:rRNA from 1 species
GUACGGGGGGAGCAAGCGUUGUUCGGAUUUACUGGGCGUAAAGGGCGCGUAGGCGGCGCGGUAAGUCGCUUGUGAAAUCUCUGAGCUUAACUCAGAACGGCCAAGUGAUACUGCAGUGCUAGAGUGCAGAAGGGGCAAUCGGGAAUUCUUGGUGUAGCGGUGAAAUGCGCAGAUAUCAGGAGGAACACCAGCGGCGGAAGGCGGCGCUCUGGGCCGGUACUGACACUGAGGAGCGAAAGCGUGGGUAGCAAACAGG